rnacentral:rRNA from 1 species
GAUGAACGCUGGCGGCGUGCCUAAUACAUGCAAGUCGAGCGAACAGAUGAGGAGCUUGCUCCUCUGACGUUAGCGGCGGACGGGUGAGUAACACGUGGAUAACCUACCUAUAAGACUGGGAUAACUUCGGGAAACCGGAGCUAAUACCGGAUAAUAUAUUGAACCGCAUGGUUCAAUAGUGAAAGACGGUUUUGCUGUCACUUAUAGAUGGAUCCGCGCCGCAUUAGCUAGUUGGCAAGGUAACGGCUUACCAAGGCAACGAUGCGUAGCCGACCUGAGAGGGUGAUCAGCCACACUGGAACUGAGACACGGUCCAGACUCCUACGGGAGGCAGCAGUAGGGAAUCUUCCGCAAUGGGCGAAAGCCUGACGGAGCAACGCCGAGUGAGUGAUGAAGGUCUUCGGAUCGUAAAACUCUGUUAUUAGGGAAGAACAAAUGUGUAAGUAACUAUGCACGUCUUGACGGUACCUAAUCAGAAAGCCACGGCUAACUACGUG